rnacentral:rRNA from 1 species
AAACAUCGCCUCUUGCAAACUAAUAAAUAAGAGGUCCCGCCUGCCCUGUGACUAUUAGUUUAACGGCCGCGGUAUUUUGACCGUGCGAAGGUAGCGCAAUCACUUGUCUUUUAAAUGAAGACCUGUAUGAAUGGCAUAACGAGGGCUUAACUGUCUCCUCUUUCCAGUCAAUGAAGUUGAUCUUCCCGUGCAGAAGCGGGAAUACAAACAUAAGACGAGAAGACCCUAUGAAGCUUUAGACACCAAGGCAGAUCAUGUUAAUAACCCUGAAUAGAGGCUUAAACCAGAUGAAGCCUGCCCUAAUGUCUUUGGUUGGGGCGACCGCGGGGCAUUGAAAAACCCCCACGUGGAAUGGGAGCACCCCUCCUACAACUAAGAGCUACAGCUCUAGUAAGCAGAAAUUUCUGACCAGCAAGAUCCGGCAAUGCCGAUCAACGGACCGAGUUACUCUAGGGAUAACAGCGCAAUCCUCUUUUAGAGCCCAUAUCGACAAGGGGGUUUACGACCUCGAUGUUGGAUCAGGACAUCCUAAUGGUGCAGCCGCUAUUAAGGGUUCGUUUGUUCAACGAUUAAAGUCCUACGUGAUCUG